CGGUAACAAGCCACAAAACCCUAAACCCUAAACCCUAAGCCUCCGUUUGGUUCGGGGUUAAGGAAAAAGUAGCUAUUCCAGGGAUAAAGUUAAGUUCAGGGUUAAAGUGGGGUUAAAGUUUUUUUGUGUUUCGUUGGGGGUUGGAGUUAGUCUAGAAUAAUGAAAAAUAGUGUUUGGUUGGGUAGGUGGGAUAAGAAGAUAAUGAUUGAUAAAGAAGGAUAAUGAUUGGUUGGAGUAGGUGUGAUAAGAAAGAUAGUGGGUUAUUAUGAAUAGAAAAUAGUGUUUGGUUGGAGUUUGGUGGGGUUAGGUGGGGUUAGCUAACCCGGGAUAAUUUAUUUGAGGUGGGGUUAGGUGGGGUUAGCUAACUCCACCUAUUUUUUGGGGUGUUUGGGGAUAAAAUGGGGGUUAAGGGGUUAUUCCACCCCUUAACUCCCAACCAAACAAGGGCUAAAGCACCUACUAACUCUUCGACUUUCAUCUCAUCUAGAUGCUUAACGGUUUCAAUCGU
rnacentral:lncRNA from 1 species